GGGUCAGUAGGUUGGUCGUGCCACCGGUACGUACUGGUCUCACUGAUUCCUCCUUCCUGAAGGACCGUAAUGCCAUUAAUUUGGUGUUGCGGGGAAACAGGACUGUUACUUUGAAAAAAUUAGAGUGUUUAAAGCAAGCUAACGCUUGAAUACAUUAGCAUGGAAUAAUGAAGUAGGACGAUCGAUCCUAUUUUGUCGGUUUCUAGGAUUGACGUA
rnacentral:rRNA from 1 species